UAUCAGCUGCGUUGUGCGUAACCUUAAUAAAGUUUUAACCUUUAAGCUGAAAUAGGGAGUUUUAAAUUGAAGCUGAAAUGUCACGCCUCAUUGCUAUGAGGACGACAGGAAAGUUUCUGCAAACACCCACUUUAUGGAGUGGUGGUUUUAAAACUUCAUUAAACGUACGGCAACUGCGGCCUUUUC
rfam:Bacillus badius strain MTCC 1458 Contig11, whole genome shotgun sequence.